GGCUGAGCUGUGCAGUUUUGAUUGUGGGGGGAGGGCUCUCUUAUCUAGGCUAGAGGCCUCUUCUCACAAUUCUAAUUUCACAGCUCUCCAGAAGCC
rnacentral:pre_miRNA from 1 species